GGUGAAACAACAGUGAGUCUAUGGGUGACUUAAAAUAAUAUUUUGAUAAGGGUAUCGCAGCGGAAAAGCGACAUUGGAAAUGUUAUGUUACGUAAUCUAAGAAUUUAACGGUUAGAGGUGGUGAAUUUGAUAAGUGUCAAGAAAAAAAAAUUUGAGGAGUUGAUCAACAAAAGAAUGUUGAGGUUGUGUUGUCGACUAAAUGAUUGGAAUAAGAUUCGACGCAAUUAAGUGAUUGAAGAAAAGUUGAGGACUUAUGGAACUUGAAAAGUUGUAAG
rnacentral:lncRNA from 1 species